AUUGAACGCUGGCGGAAUGCUUUACACAUGCAAGUCGAACGGUAGAGGGGGCAACCCCUCGAGAGUGGCGAACGGGUGAGUAAUAUAUCGGAACGUGCCCAGUCGUGGGGGAUAACGUAGCGAAAGUUACGCUAAUACCGCAUACGAUCUAAGGAUGAAAGCGGGGGAUCGCAAGACCUCGCGCGAUUGGAGCGGCCGAUAUCAGAUUAGGUAGUUGGUGGGGUAAAGGCUCACCAAGCCAACGAUCUGUAGCUGGUCUGAGAGGACGACCAGCCACACUGGAACUGAGACACGGUCCAGACUCCUACGGGAGGCAGCAGUGGGGAAUUUUGGACAAUGGACGCAAGUCUGAUCCAGCCAUUCCGCGUGCAGGAUGAAGGCCCUCGGGUUGUAAACUGCUUUUGUACGGAACGAAAAGGUCUCUCCUAAUACGAGGGGCUCAUGACGGUACCGUAAGAAUAAGCACCGGCUAACUACGUGCCAGCCGCCGCGGUAAUAC
rnacentral:rRNA from 1 species